rnacentral:lncRNA from 1 species
UGUAAGGAAAAAUGGCAGCAAAAAUCUUUUUAAAAAAAGAUAAGAAAAAGGGAGAGAAAAAUAGAAAGAAAGUCAAGAGGAAAUAUAGAAAGCAAUUGUUGCUUGUCCUAGGGUUUUGAUUAUUCAAAUAUUGGAUAUCUGAAUAUGAUUUGUGUGGUGAGAUCUUUUGAAAAAGGAUCUAUAGUAUAGCUUUUGUGGAGGA